CGUACCCUUACUGUAAUUGUCCGUGUGAUUUUAUUAUUUAUCCAGCUAGUUGUCCUUAUAGUGUCCUACUAAGGGGACAACUAUUUGAUAUUCUGGGGGAGGAGGAUUUUGAAAAUAAAUAACUUAGCCUUGCUAAUCACAAAAAUCAAAGGUUUGUUCUGUGGUAGUUUGAAAAUGAAUAACCUGACUUACAAUUUAUUGAAAAGAAAUAUCUC
rnacentral:lncRNA from 1 species